rnacentral:rRNA from 1 species
UACAGAGGUCCCAAGCGUUGUUCGGAUUCACUGGGCGUAAAGGGUGCGUAGGCGGUCGGGUAAGUCUGAUGUGAAAUCUUGGAGCUUAACUCCGAAACUGCAUUCGAUACUGCCGUGCUUGAGGACUGGAGAGGAGACUGGAAUUUACGGUGUAGCGGUGAAAUGCGUAGAUAUCGUAAGGAAGACCAGUGGCGAAGGCGGGUCUCUGGACAGUUCCUGACGCUGAGGCACGAAGGCCAGGGGAGCAAACGGG